rnacentral:rRNA from 1 species
UAGGGAAUCUUCCACAAUGGACGAAAGUCUGAUGGAGCAACGCCGCGUGAGUGAAGAAGGUUUUCGGAUCGUAAAGCUCUGUUGUUGGUGAAGAAGGAUAGAGGCAGUAACUGGUCUUUAUUUGACGGUAAUCAACCAGAAAGUCACGGCUAACUACGUGCCAGCAGCCGCGGUAAUACGUAGGUGGCAAGCGUUGUCCGGAUUUAUUGGGCGUAAAGCGAGCGCAGGCGGAAUGAUAAGUCUGAUGUGAAAGCCCACGGCUCAACCGUGGAACUGCAUCGGAAACUGUCAUUCUUGAGUGCAGAAGAGGAGAGUGGAACUCCAUGUGUAGCGGUGGAAUGCGUAGAUAUAUGGAAGAACACCAGUGGCGAAGGCGGCUCUCUGGUCU